GCCAGGCGCAGUGGCUCAUGCCUGUAAUCCUAGCACUCUGGGAGAUCAAAGUUGUUGGAUUGCUUGAGCUCAGGAGUUCAAAACCAGCCUGAGCAAGGACAAGACCCCAUCUCUAAAAACAGCCGGGCAUUGUGGUGGGCACCUGUAGUCCCAGCUACUUGGGAGGCUGGGGUAAGAGGAUCACUUGAGCCCAAGAGUUUGAGGUUGCUGUGCCAUAGCACUCUAUCAAGGGCAACUGAGUGAGACUCUGUCUCAAAAAAAAAAACAACAAAAAAACUACAUGAAAACUAUCUACAAAAAUUUAUUGUCAAUUUACGAAGAAAAGCAUGCACGUCAUUAAAUAAAACAAAUAAAAUGCU